AUUGAACGCUGGCGGCAGGCUUAACACAUGCAAGUCGAGCGGAGAUGAGGUGCUUGCACCUUAUCUCAGCGGCGGACGGGUGAGUAACGCUUAGGAAUCUGCCUAUUAGUGGGGGACAACAUUCCGAAAGGAAUGCUAAUACCGCAUACGUCCUACGGGAGAAAGCAGGGGAUCUUCGGACCUUGCGCUAAUAGAUGAGCCUAAGUCGGAUUAGCUAGUUGGUGGGGUAAAGGCCUACCAAGGCGACGAUCUGUAGCGGGUCUGAGAGGAUGAUCGGCCAAACUGGGACUGGGAACCGGCCCAGACUCCUACGGGAGGCAGCAGUGGGGAAUAUUGGACAAUGGGGGGAACCCUGAUCCAGCCAUGCCGCGUGUGUGAAGAAGGCCUUAUGGUUGUAAAGCACUUUAAGCGAGGAGGAGGCUACUGAGACUAAUACUCUUGGAUAGUGGACGUUACUCGCAGAAUAAGCACCGGCUUACUCUGUGCCAGCAGCCGCCGUAAAAC
rnacentral:rRNA from 1 species